rnacentral:misc_RNA from 1 species
GAUGAAGAACGUAGCGAAAUGCGAUAAGUAAUGUGAAUUGCAGAAUUCAGUGAAUCAUCGAAUCUUUGAACGCACCUUGCGCCCGCCAGUAUUCUGGCGGGCAUGCCUGUUCGAGCGUCAUUUCAACCAUCAAGCCCCGGGCUUGUGUUGGGGAUCUGCGGCUGCCCGCAGGCCCUGAAAACCAGUGGCGGGCUCGCUGUCACUCCGAGCGUAGUAGCACUCGUAUCUCGCUCAGGGCGUGCCGCGGGCUCCGGCCGUUAAGCCGCCUCUUUAGCACCCAAAGGUUGACCUCGGAUCAGGUAGGAGGACCCGCUGAACUUAAGCAUAUCAAUAAGCGGAGGA